UACGAGUGCCCCAAGCGUUAUCCGGAAUUAUUGGGCGUAAAGGGUGUGUAGGUGGUCUGGUUAGUCUUCUGUCAAAUUCUUCGGCUCAACCGGGGUCCGGCAGAGGAAGCGGCCAAACUAGAGGAUGCGAGGGGUGAAUGGAACUCAUGGAGUAGGGGUGAAAUCCGUUGAUAUCAUGGGGAACACCAAAAGCGAAGGCAAUUCACUGGCGCAUUCCUGACACUGAGACACGAAAGCGUGGGUAGCGAACUGG
rnacentral:rRNA from 1 species